CUCCUAUGUGGAGAUAGAUUUGAACGCUUUUAUUUACAUUUAUCUGCGAAAGAAAAUACACGUCGUGCUCAGUUGCUGAAGUGGCUCUCUUUCUAGUCCUUAAGAGCACACAUAACAAAAACAUGUGAAUGAAAUACCAUACAACAUUUUGCAAGGAUUUAGAGUUCAUUGGUGAAAAUGGAAGAAAGGACAUGGGUACAUCUAAUUUUAAAUGAAAUAACAAGAAUAGUUAAAUGAUUUACAACCAAGCAGGACUCAGCAAUAGUGAUGAAAAGUGAAACAAGAUUUUUGAUAGAUAGAAAUUAGAAGAAAAGGAAAAGGUUAAACAAGAUUUAGUGCCUGCCACACAAUUAAGAAAGAAUGAGAGGCAAGAAUGUCUACAGAACAGAGGAGAUUAUUUGUACUGCACUUCGAUUUGUGUUUUAGUUAUAUUCAAUUAGUAUUAAAGAGUUAUGUACAAUAAAUCAUGUUAUAUUAUGUUCUUUAAAAAAUACUUUAUGUC